UACAGAGGUCUCAAGCGUUGUUCGGAUUCAUUGGGCGUAAAGGGCGCGUAGGCGGCAAGGCAAGUCGGGUGUGAAAGCUUGGGGCUUAACCCCGAAAGGGCACUCGAAACUGCGUUGCUAGAGGGCCGGAGAGGAGAUCGGAAUUCACGGUGUAGCAGUGAAAUGCGUAGAGCUCGUGAGGAAGACCGGUGGCGAAGGCGGAUCUCUGGACGGCCCCUGACGCUGAGGCGCGAAGGCUAGGGGAGCAAACAGG
rnacentral:rRNA from 1 species